rnacentral:tRNA from 1 species
GGCUCCAUACUUUAAGCUAAAAGGUGUGAUUUGCAUUCAUAGAAUAAGGCGUUUGCAGCCUUUGGAGCCA